GAUGAACGCUGGCGGCGUGCCUAAUACAUGCAAGUCGAGCGAACGGACGAGAAGCUUGCUUCUCUGAUGUUAGCGGCGGACGGGUGAGUAACACGUGGAUAACCUACCUAUAAGACUGGGAUAACUUCGGGAAACCGGAGCUAAUACCGGAUAAUAUUUUGAACCGCAUGGUUCAAAAGUGAAAGACGGUCUUGCUGUCACUUAUAGAUGGAUCCGCGCUGCAUUAGCUAGUUGGUAAGGUAACGGCUUACCAAGGCAACGAUGCAUAGCCGACCUGAGAGGGUGAUCGGCCACACUGGAACUGAGACACGGUCCAGACUCCUACGGGAGGCAGCAGUAGGGAAUCUUCCGCAAUGGGCGAAAGCCUGACGGAGCAACGCCGCGUGAGUGAUGAAGGUCUUCGGAUCGUAAAACUCUGUUAUUAGGGAAGAACAUAUGUGUAGGUAACUGUGCACAUCUUGACGGUACCUAAUCAGAAAGCCACGGCUAACUACGUG
rnacentral:rRNA from 1 species